rnacentral:rRNA from 1 species
GUGGGGAAUAUUGGACAAUGGGCGAAAGCCUGAUCCAGCCAUGCCGCGUGUGUGAAGAAGGUCUUCGGAUUGUAAAGCACUUUAAGUUGGGAGGAAGGGCAGUAAGUUAAUACCUUGCUGUUUUGACGUUACCGACAGAAGAAGCACCGGCUAACUUCGUGCCAGCAGCCGCGGUAAUACGAAGGGUGCAAGCGUUAAUCGGAAUUACUGGGCGUAAAGCGCGCGUAGGUGGUUUUGUAAGUUGGAGGUGAAAUCCCCGGGCUCAACCUGGGAACUGCCUCCAAAACUGCAUGACUAGAGUACGGUAGAGGGUAGUGGAAUUUCCUGUGUAGCGGUGAAAUGCGUAGAUAUAGGAAGGAACACCAGUGGCGAAGGCGACUACCUGGACUGAUACUGACACUGAGGUGCGAAAGCGUGGGGAGCAAACAGGAUUAGAUACCCCGGUAGUCC